CCUACGGGAGGCAGCAGUGAGGAAUAUUGGUCAAUGGGCGCAAGCCUGAACCAGCCAAGUCGCGUGAGGGAUGAAGGCUCUAUGGAUUGUAAACAUCUUUUAUAAGGGAAUAAAGUGUGGGACGUGUCCUAUUUUGUAUGUACCUUAUGAAUAAGGAUCGGCUAACUCAGUGCCAGCAGCCGCGGUAAUACGGAGGAUCCGAGCGUUAUCCGGAUUGAUUGUGUUUAAAGGGUGCGUAGGCGGGCUGUUAAGUCAGCGGUGAAAGUCUGUGGCUCAACCAGAGAAUUGCCGUUGAGACUGGGGGGCUUGAGUAUGUUUGAGGCAGGCGGAAUGCGUGGUGUAGCGGGGAAAUGCUUAGAUAUCACGCAGAACCCCGAUUGCGAAGGCAGCCUGCCAAGCCAUGACUGACGCUGAUGCACGAAAGCGUGGGGAUCAAACAGGAUUAGAUACCCUAGUAGUC
rnacentral:rRNA from 1 species